UCGAUGGUGUCCGAUAAUAAGGACAAAAGGGAAUACAGUACCGCCGGCCGGAAGUGAUCGGCGCAUUCUGUAGCUGCCCCCGCAACUGUAAACGGCGAGCAACCAUUCAUAUCCACUGGGGUAACCUGGGAAGGGAAUGGACGCGACGACCCGCAAGCCAGGAAACCUGCCAUCGCUG
rnacentral:ncRNA from 1 species